UUAGUGUUUGGAAAUUGGAUUUUUAAGAUGCGUUUAUACAAAAUGUAUUAGUUGUUUGACAACUCCCAUCUUCAAAGGACACGCAUGGGAUGCGUCAUGUCAUGUCUGAUUUAUCCACUAGAUGGCAGUUGAAUAUCAAUUCAAAUGGCAUUUGUUCUAAAAGAGAGACGUCAUAAAACAGGUAAUUUGCUUAUAAUUUACCGUUGGUAAAGCUACAAUAUUUUACAUUUCCUGAUAACUAUGCUGUUUGCUAGCAAAACGUAGCCUAUAGUAUUUCUGGUUGCUUUGGCACAUAGCCUAGCUGAUAUAGCUUUUAGUUGCUUACCAUCAACCUUUACAGAAAUUCGAUGUAGAGAAUUUUACCUGUAAUAAUAUAAACCUGCGUGUUAACUGUGUUCGAUGUCUGGUUAAAUGCUGGUCAUAUCAGCUAAGGCAGUUAUUGACUGUUAAGGAAGAAUUACAGCUCAUCAUCAAGACAUUUUCUCUCUUGUGAUCAUAGGAGAUACUGACACAGACCCAUUUACUGAUGCCAUAAAUAUAUGGGCCACUUACACUGCAGGCUGCCUAUACCUUGGAUACACACUCAAAACUCUCCAUAUUUCACUCGAUUCUAGAGGUGAAUCUUUCAAUGCAGAAGUUUGGAUCUUCUCCAUAGGGCACAGCGUGGAAUAUAUUGAUCAUGACCAUUCAUGUGCAUCCAGAUGGACACACACAGUGAUGAUAGUACAUGUGGCAAAGUCCAACUAUCCAUCUGUUGUUUGAAAUGAUUCCUGUAGGGACGAGUGUGUGUCACAGCUGGUGUCCCAUUGGCUUGGGUAAGCUGACCUGCAGUGAUGCAGAGAGAAAUGCAGGCCAAGUAUGGCAUCUGGCAUGGCACCGGACAUACAACUUCCUCUAUGAAAAAUGAUCUUCUCACCCUGAAUGAUAAAGCAGUACAAUUAUUCCCAGUAUUUAACUAAGGUAAAAUCUUUCAUGCACACCUCAGUAUUCUGAGGUGUCACCGUUAAAACCACCGUCUUUAUAAGAUUUGCACAUUUGCUUCAUUUUAGAUAAGGGUGGGGCUCCUCUCAGGGGGAGGGGCUUCCGUGUUGAGAUCACAUGAGCUUUAACGUGUUCUCUAAUAUGAACUGUACUGAAGAAAUUGUUCCGUUUAGACCUAUUCUACAUACAAAUGACUUGAAGAGUGCAUCUUCAUUGAUCAAUAUGGCGUGAACAACCAGAUGUAUUUGCACAUUUACACCUGUGUCCUGUAUCUACCUCAGCCAGUGAUGACAUUGCUGGCCUCUCAAAUGCAUCUGCGACAUUUACAGUUUUCUUUUUAUGAUCGGAAGGCAACUAUCCAGUCAGUAAAAAUACACUAAGUGUAAAUACCCCCUUCCACUGAACUUUAUUAAAAGCAUCUGGUGGGAGUUCCAAUGGAGACACUUACCCACUAGGUUGUCUGAUGAAAACUUUCUCUUUCUCUGUUGAUAAAUUUCAAUUGCAGGGUUCCAGAGAGUCCUGGUGUGUGGAAGGAACUGUGGUUUUUAAGACCAACUUCAGUUAGUUUCUUCAAUAUGGUCAGAUGUAAUGUGGAAUGUAUCAUGUGGGCAGAUAUAAUUGGGAACAGUUGUGGUGUUGCAUUCCUCAUUUAAAAAUGUAAUUGGAUAAAUGUAAAGGAAUGAACAGAAAAAAAGAGUAACUGUGUGUUGUACGUAGCCUACAGUAAAUGAUAAUGACCAAACACUUUUAGUUUUAAAAUGAUCUCUUUAAGAUGAGUAUUCUUUAUCUUUUAUGAAUAAAACCUCAAAUUGAAAUCUCAUUGAGCUGUUGAC